rnacentral:rRNA from 1 species
CUCGUGUCGUGAGAUGUUGGGUUAAGUCCCGCAACGAGCGCAACCCCUAUUGUUAGUUGCCAUCAUUCAGUUGGGCAUCUAGCGAGACUGCCGGUAAUAACCGGAGAAGUGGGGAUGACGUCAAAUCAUCAUGCCCCCUUUAUGACCUGGGCUACACACGUGCUACAAUGGUUGGUACAACGAGUUGCGAGUCGGUGACGGCGAGCUAAUCUCUUAAAGCCAAUCUCAGUUCGGAUUGUAGGCUGCAACUCGCCUACAUGAAGUCGGAAUCGCUAGUAAUCGCGGAUCAGCACGCCGCGGUGAAUACGUUCCCGGGCCUU